UGAGAAACUGCCUAGAGACAGUUGACUUGUGAACCUGUCUGCAGGCGACUGUCUUGACUGUUAAUUGAGGUGGGAAGACCCACCCUGAACGUGGGUGGCCCCACUUCACGGGCUGGCCCUGAACACAUGCAGGCAGGCAGCAUGGAUAUGGCUGGGGAGUGGACCCAACAGAACAGAGUGGACAUAAUGAACCCUUGUCUCGUGGUAUCAUUGAAGCAUGUGAUUUCUGAGGCCGUUCUAGGCCAAAAUAACAAACAUUUGGAGAGAUGGAAAGGUCGGAUAAAGCACAGGAUGUGUGGAGAACUACUUCCUUAAUCUCAUUGCCUCAAUAUUCGCUGGUUACCUCGGGCAGUUUAUGAGACUUGAGCUAGACAAAGCCAAGCCUCAUCUCUUCCACUGAAGGGGUUGAGUCUGGGCUGUGGACACAGACACUGUAGGUCAUGUGUCCAAUCUCCUAGAGGCAGGCAGGCUCAGGGGGAGAAGGGACAUACUCAGGUAGAGGGGAUGUGUAAGGCUUACAGAGAAGGGGGUGUUGACGUUAUCCAAGAAGGACAAAUGAAAGGUCACUAGAAGAAACGUGAGGGGAGAGCUCAGGCCAGAAGGGAAGAAAAGACAUCCAGAGCAGGAGAUGCAGGUAGGAGUAGGUGAGGGAGGGCUGAUGGAGGGG
rnacentral:lncRNA from 1 species